UUCAGCGGUGCACACAAGCGGUUCAGGGCAGCGCGGGACAAGGCCGACGCCGCGGUUCGCAGAACCGCUAAGAAGGGACGCCUGCGAACCGCGCCUGAUGAGAACCACGCCAGGCUGCAGGAGGCGCUGCAGGAGAGCGAGGCGCAGCUCACCGCCUUCCUGACGCAGAGCCUGCGCGAGGCGGCGCAGCAGCAGCGACGACGCCUGGGCUUCGUGCUGGAGCGGCAGUGCAGCGUCGACCGACACCUCCAUGCGCUCCACGCGGCAGGUGCCGCCCUACUGACGGAGGCGCUGAAGACGAGCACAGCCGUGGCGUCCACGCGCCACCUGCUCCCCCCCACCUCCCCUC
rnacentral:lncRNA from 1 species